rnacentral:rRNA from 1 species
AUUGAACGCUGGCGGCAUGCCUUACACAUGCAUGUCGAACGGCAGCACGGGUGCUUGCACCUGGUGGCGAGUGGCGAACGGGUGAGUAAUACAGCGGAACAUGUCCUGUAGUGGUGGAUAGCCUGGCGAAAGCCGGAUUAAUACCGCAUACGAUCUACGGAUGAAAGCGGGUGACCUUCGGGCCUCGCGCCAUGGGGUUGGCCGAUGGCUGAUUAGCUAUUUGUGGGGGUAAAGGCCUACCAAGGCGACGAUCAGUAGCUGGUCUGAGAGGACGACCAGCCACACUGGGACUGAGACACGGCCCAGACUCCUAAGAGAGGCAGCAGUGGGGAAUUUUGGACAAUGGGCGAAAGCCUGAUCCAGCAAUGCCGCGUGUGUGAAGAAGGCCUUCGGGUUGUAAAGCACUUUUGUCAGGAAAGAAAUCCUUGGACCUACUACGGUCGGGGGAUGACGGUACCGGAAGAAUAAGCACCGGCUAACUACGUG